ensembl:lncRNA
GACGGGGGUAACUGUUGUUCAAAGUUUUGAAGCGUAAUAAUGAGUUCAAAAAAUAGGGAUCUUCUAUGUUGCUCCUCGUAUCUUUCAUAUGUUGCUGCUAGUGCACUGGUGUACUUUUCAGGUGCUGUUCUUAUGAGUUUCUGCCACAGAUUUGAUGUCCUCUGAACUCUUUCAGGAUCACAGUCUUCGCAUGGAUUGUUAGGAACAAACAUGGGGUCGUACAACAUUUCCACCACAGCUAAUUCAUAGAGUGGAAGAGGCGGGUGACUGUGGUGACUGAGCAAGGGCCUGCAGCUUCAACUCAGGGAAAUGAGGGAGGAGGAGGCAGGCCAAUUAAAGCAUUCCCCCUCUGAUAAAUUAGGACAGGCCUUCCUGUGGAAAGAAAGAAAAAGUCUCACGCUCGUUCUUGUCAAAAGGGAUGGAACAGGCCUCGGAUGACACGGCUGGCGGGGGCUGUCCAGCUGCAGCACAGCAGGGUGGGGGGUCAGCAGUGAAGAGGGCUGCUGCACCUGCUUGUGCAGCUUCUGCUUGUAGGGUUUGGCAGUCUCUCUCUCUGAUUUAUAGGAGAGAGAGGAGGUUCUUUUAAUAUUUGUAUACCCGAUGGUGAGAUUAAGACAGUGUGGUUGAAAUGUUAGCCCAACCUGUUUAGGGAGAUGGGGAAGAGAAGGAUGCCAACUAUUAUGAAUUGGGGUGGUGGGGAAGGGAAAGCGGGCAAUAGGAAAGAUAGGAAAGAAGCAAGAAUUACGGAAAGCAGAGAUAGUCACCAUCAAGAUCCAGCAAUGUCCCAUUGCAUGCUGUUCUGAUGGUCCGAGGCAAAGUUGCAGGGGGAGAGCAGCAGCAGAGUGGCCAGUCUUAGGCAGCACGCAGGUCCAGUGACAGCAAGUCCAGGAGGAAGAGGCAGGUCUCAGGUAGCAGGCCCAGAAGAGUCCGUCAGCAGGCAGGCAUCACGUCGAGAGGCAUCUGAUGUCAGCCACCUUGCUGCUUGGCUGCUGGUCCCUUUUUUAUAUCCUUCUUCUGUCAAAGUGGCAUUCCCGGGCGCCUGGGUAAAAGUCAUGUGAGUGCCACUUGAGAUGGCUGUCUCCCUCAAGAUAAGCCCACACAAAUGACUGCUUCCUGGCCAUUAAACUGCUACUCAUCUCUCUCUGGUUGCCCCUGUCCUGCAAAUCUUCAGAUGAAAGAUUUUGGCCACCUUGACCAGGACUUGCCAGGACUUGUGAGUAAUCCUUUAGACAGAUGAUUUCUCAGCCCUUGACCAGGAUGUGUCCAUCAGUAUUUCUCAGCAAGCUUUGAGACAAUGGUGCAAAAGAAUAAUCUCUUACAGGCAGGCAAGGAGCCGCAGUGCAAAGUGGGCUCUGCUUGCUUCAUCACCUUCCUUGGUACCACGACUGUAGCUUGGGUGUUUUCAAUGUCAAAGGGGUCAUCCAUUGUCAGAAAUGAUCUCUUUCUUCUCCCCUGCAUUUCCAAACAUAUUGUUUCACACUGAGGACUGGAGCAGAGCUGGGCUGAGCCUGUUUUCUCCCAUUUGCAUUGGUGGCUGAAAUGCUUUUUGUGUGCAGAGAUAGUGGGAAUACGGGCAAGCCUCUGCACCUCUUGUUUGCCUUUGGUAUAAAUUCCUCCUGCAAUUUGUCUGCAGAGUUCUCACCUUGGCUGCCAUCAUUUUGCAGUCUCUCACCGUAUUGUUUAUGCUUCCUGUCCAGAGGUGGACAUGGAUGUUGGCUGAUACGUUCCUGGGCCGAUACGUUUUGGGGCCAAUCUUCUGCUUUUUUGUAUAAGGAACAUCUCUUUUAAGAUCAUUUCUCUUUGGAGCGAUCUUUUCGCCCUGGAGUUUCAAGGAAGUGAGCCUGGUUAUUUUCCUCUCUAGCAAAGUUAAAUCUGCCGUUGCCAUUUGGUUUUGCGAUGGCAUCUUCCAGAGCAACAGUCAUUGGUUUCUUUUCACUGCUUCCAUUCAG